rnacentral:rRNA from 1 species
GAGCUUGCUCCCGGAUGUUAGCGGCGGACGGGUGAGUAACACGUGGGUAACCUGCCUGUAAGACUGGGAUAACUCCGGGAAACCGGAGCUAAUACCGGAUAGUUCCUUGAACCGCAUGGUUCAAGGAUGAAAGACGGUUUCGGCUGUCACUUACAGAUGGACCCGCGGCGCAUUAGCUAGUUGGUGAGGUAACGGCUCACCAAGGCGACGAUGCGUAGCCGACCUGAGAGGGUGAUCGGCCACACUGGGACUGAGACACGGCCCAGACUCCUACGGGAGGCAGCAGUAGGGAAUCUUCCGCAAUGGACGAAAGUCUGACGGAGCAACGCCGCGUGAGUGAUGAAGGUUUUCGGAUCGUAAAGCUCUGUUGUUAGGGAAGAACAAGUGCAAGAGUAACUGCUUGCACCUUGACGGUACCUAACCAGAAAGCCACGGCUAACUACGUGCCAGCAGCCGCGGUAAUACGUAGGUGGCAAGCGUUGUCCGGAAUUAUUGGGCGUAAAGGGCUCGCAGGCGGUUUCUUAAGUCUGAUGUGAAAGCCCCCGGCUCAACCGGGGAGGGUCAUUGGAAACUGGGAAACUUGAGUGCAGAAGAGGAGAGUGGAAUUCCACGUGUAGCGGUGAAAUGCGUAGAGAUGUGGAAGAACACCAGUGGCGAAGGCGACUCUCUGGUCUGUAACUGACGCUGAGGAGCGAAAGCGUGGGGAGCGAACA